rnacentral:tRNA from 1 species
GUCCUUAGCUCAGCUGGAUAGAGUAUCUGGCUAAGAACCAGUCGGUCGGAGGUUCCAAUUCUCCAGGAC